rnacentral:rRNA from 1 species
AUACGUAGGGGGCGAGCGUUGUCCGGAAUGAUUGGGCGUAAAGGGCGCGUAGGCGGCGCGGUAAGUCUGGAGUGAAAGUCCUGCUUUCAAGGUGGGAAUUGCUUUGGAUACUGCCGCGCUUGAGUGCAGGAGAGGUUAUCGGAAUUCCCGGUGUAGCGGUGAAAUGCGUAGAGAUCGGGAGGAACACCAGUGGCGAAGGCGGGUAACUGGACUGCAACUGACGCUGAGGCGCGAAAGUGUGGGGAGCAAACAGGAUUAGAUACCCUGGUAGUCCACACCGUAAACGAUGAAUGCUAGGUGUAGGGGGUAUCGACCCCUUCUGUGCCGCAGUCAACACAAUAAGCAUUCCGCCUGGGGAGUACGGCCGCAAGGUUGGAACUCAAAUGAAUUGACGGGG